AUGGAACCUUCUCCGACGGAAAUUCGGUUAUGACGGGCUCUCUUAUGUCAUUCCCUUGUAUACUCGCAAUGACCACAUGCUCUCCUUUAUAAGCAAUACCAAUUGAAGACUCGCCAAACUUUUCUUUUCCUUCCUUCCUUCCCUCUCAACUCUCCACUCUCUACAGCUGCAAUUCUCCUUCUGUCGUCCCUCUCCUCUGCUUCUUCUCUGCUACUAUUACUGGGGGUGAAUUUCAGCCUUACCAAAUUGAAAGAAAUGGGCACCUGUUUCUCUUGUUCAGUCUUCAGUGAAUCUCAGCUUCUUCCCCCUACAGCAAAGGUUGUUUCUGUUAAUGGCAAUCUCGAGGAAUACUAUGUUCCUGUAUUUGUCUCUCAAGUCCUCGACUCUGAAGCUGCAUCAUCCUCGUCUUCAUCAUCGUUCUCAUCUUCUUACUUCCUCUGCAAUUCUGACUUUUUAUCCUAUGAUGAUUACAUUCCGGCCUUGGAUUCCAACGCUCAGCUCUACGCUAAUCAGUUAUACUUUGUUCUUCCUAGAUCUAAACUUCAAAACAGGCUGACCGCUUCUGACAUGGCAGCUUUGGCCGUAAAAGCUAGUGUAGCCAUCCAAAAUGCGUCGAAGAAAGAAGCUCAUCGGCGUAAGAAGGCCAGGAUUUCUCCUGUUUCGUUAGGCAAUCAGUUCCCUUCAUUAGAUGAUGAUGGCCAUGUUAUUAAGUCGUUUGAGAAGCCACAGGCACAGCAGCAAUCACCUGUAGGGCUUUCGAGAUCCGGGUCUGUUAGAAGAUUACGAAAGUAUACUUCCAGACGAGCGAAAUUAGCUGUUCGCUCCUUUAAGCUCAGAUUAAGCACCAUUUACGAAGGGACAGUGCUUUGAGUUUUUUUUAUUUGUUUAAUUUUUUUUUUUUAAUUUUCUAGUAGAACGUUAAUCCAAUUUUGAAGUGGGGGAAGAAAGCCAGGUCAAUCAAAUUUUCAUAUAUUUUUUUUUGGUAGACAAUUUUCAUAUGUUAAUUACCGUUUACAUAACUUCUAUAUAGUUUCCUGUAAAAAACAAUUAAUGAAGAUUGUUCUGAACAUCUGUAACUGAUUUAGUUUUUG
rnacentral:misc_RNA from 1 species